GGUUGUAGCUCAGUGGUAGAGUGCUUGCUUUGCAUGUGUGAGGCACUGGGUUCCAUCCUCAGUGCCA
rnacentral:tRNA from 1 species